rnacentral:rRNA from 1 species
UACGGAGGGUGCGAACGUUAAUCGGAAUCACUGGGCGUAAAGCGCGCGUAGGCGGCUUUUCAAGUCGAUUGUGAAAUCCCCGGGCUUAACCUGGGAACUGCAGUCGAGACUGUCUAGCUAGAGUAUGGGAGAGGGAAGUGGAAUUUCAGGUGUAGCGGUGAAAUGCGUAGAUAUCUGAAGGAACAUCAGUGGCGAAAGCGACUUCCUGGACCAAUACUGACGCUCAUGUGCGAAAGCGUGGGGAGCAAACAGG